ACCCUGGUGGUGUAGUGGUAGCACACGUCCCCGGUAUGGAUGAAACGUGGGUUAAAGUCCCGUCUGAGGUC